UGGGGAAUAUUGCACAAUGGGCGCAAGCCUGAUGCAGCCAUGCCGCGUGUAUGAAGAAGGCCUUCGGGUUGUAAAGUACUUUCAGCGGGGAGGAAGGGAGUAAAGUUAAUACCUUUGCUCAUUGACGUUACCGGCCGAAGAAGCACCGGCUAACUCCGUGCCAGCAGCCGCGGUAAUACGGAGGGUGCAAGCGUUAAUCGGAAUUACUGGGCGUAAAGCGCACGCAGGCGGUUUGUUAAGUCAGAUGUGAAAUCCCCGGGCUCAACCUGGGAACUGCAUCUGAUACUGGCAAGCUUGAGUAUCGUAGAGGGGGGUAGAAUUCCAGGUGUAGCGGUGAAAUGCGUAGAGAUCUGGAGGAAUACCGGUGGCGAAGGCGGCCCCCUGGACGAAGACUGACGCUCAGGUGCGAAAGCGUGGGGAGCAAACAGG
rnacentral:rRNA from 1 species